UACAGGGGGGGCAAGCGUUGUUCGGAAUUACUGGGCGUAAAGGGUUUGUAGGUGGCUUGUUAAGUCAGACGUGAAAUCCCUCGGCUUAACCGGGGAACUGCGUCUGAUACUGGAUGGCUUGAGUUCGGGAGAGGGAUGCGGAAUUCCAGGUGUAGCGGUGAAAUGCGUAGAUAUCUGGAGGAACACCGGUGGCGAAGGCGGCAUCCUGGACCGACACUGACACUGAGGAGCGAAAGCCAGGGGAGCAAACGGG
rnacentral:rRNA from 1 species